ensembl:lncRNA
CUCCAAAUCACUUUUAAACUGGCCUCUCUCGGCCUGACAUAGCACUGCUGACUGACGCUCCCCUCUGACCUGCUCGCUCUCUUUGCUGUCACUAACUUUGCUGUUUUCAGUUCCUUUUUAAUUUUUUUAUAGCCAUAUUUUGCUUCGCUUCCCUUAAUUCUUUAAUCUCUAUAUUUAGAAAAAAGUUUCUUUUGUUUGCAUACAUUCUAAUUUUUUUCUGAUACAUCUAGCUCCAAAAACCUGGACUCCCAUGAGGAAGAACUGUGAAUGUGGCACCACUUCCUCUUUUCUUGCUUUUUGGCAUCUUCUUAUUUUUGUUUUGUUUAUUUAUUUAUUUAUUUUUAGAAAACUUGAAGAACUACCCUGUAUAGUGAGAAUGGGACACUGACUCUGUAACAUUUGUGAGGGAUUAUGUGCACUUCCUUCCGCUGUCUAAAGGGGACGCUUUCCAAAUAUUUGGUGCUGACUGGUUGUAACAGCAACUCCAUGUGGAAGGUUUCUUAUGUCUUCCAGUGGAGCUGCUGUUGCGUGCAGAUAGUCACCCUUAUCUACUUUGGUUCUGCAUGAAAAUACAGUCCUAAUUAAUUAUCUGUAAUUAUUAAUUAUGUGGCUGUAAAUGUAUUUGCAUGUUGUCAGAAAGCAUGUUUAACCCAGUGUCUAGGACACAGGGUGAUGACCUAUGAAUUGACAGCCAGUGUUUGCAGUCCAGCUGCCUGUCAGUUCUGUAGGCCACUGUCCUGUUUAUCCUACUAAACACACACUGAUUUGCACAGAGAAUGCAGGGCUUUGUAUAAAUGUUGGACUAUAAUUUUCUGGGAACAUUUAUGUUAAGGCUAUAUUACAACAUGAUUUAUUUGAUAUUAUGUUAAUUUGUUUUAUUUUACUGCAUAUAAUUUCAUUUGAACAUUAAAUUAUUUCAAAAUCAAGUUCUUUUUUUGUAUAUCUUAUUUCAAGUUUAAAGUAACGUUAACAAACACAAAAAAGGUAACUAACAUAGAAUAACAAAAUACACACAAUUACACAAAAAGAAAAGAAAGGGCUGCCUCGAUAUUUACAACAUAUUUUGAAAAUAUAUACAUAAAUGACAAUAUUCACAAUUUUUGUAUAAACCAGAUAAUUCACCACAGGAGGAAAAGAAAUAGAAAUAUCAAAAGAAUAGAAGGGAAGGUUUACAGAAUGUUUCAUAGUUAAAUUUCCAAGAGCCUCAAGAAUGGCUUCAAUUCUUUUUUUGUGAGCAGAGCUCACCAAAACAUAACUGUUUCAUUAGGGUAAUAUAGAGCAUCUCGUUUAACCAUCUUUGAAAACAAGGGGCUUAUGGAGAUUUCCAAUUGAGGAGUAUCACUUUUUUGGCUGCAAUCAUAAUCAAGAUCUUCUUUAAUAUUAAAUAAAUGUGAAUUGUUUCUCGCCCUUUUCAUCAUAUAUCUUGUUUUUUUUUUUUUUGUCACAUUCUUUGCAUACAUUUCAGAUAUACAUUAUUUACACCAUUUUCCAAGAUCAACGUUGCCAUGACUUGGCAAGACCCAUUCACACUAAGAACGGUAACAGUUAUGAUAACUAUAUUAGUGUCCACACUAACAUAUGAUAAAGUUCUGUUUUUAAUAGGUGCACACCUGCUGCUUCAAAUGCUAGAUCUGGAUACUGAUUGGUUUUCAAAAAUUUGUAAAGUUAUUCCAACAAUAUUGUUCCUCUGUUGUCAUUGUUGUUGUGUGGACUUUCCAUCUCUCAUAAGAAUAGAAUGAUUAGUAACACUUUAUAGUAAUCAUCCUUGGUGUCAGUGGGCCUUUAGUCACAGUUUGAAUGAGCCACUGAAAAGAGAGUAUGAUCACAGACAAUAUAUGCCACUUCACCCACAAACAACUUGAUUUCUUGUAAAGGUCAGGCUGCUUUCACCUUCAGUUUUGUUUUGUCCAGAGUUUUCCCCCUGAAAUGUCAGUAGAGUCUUGGACAGGAAUAGUUCUAAGACAGAAAGCUUACAGCUUACCAACAUGUAGAGACAGGUCAAUACAAAUGUUGCAUUACAAGAUUGCUGAUUUCAAAAAUAAUGUGCUGUAUAUUGAUUAAAAAAAUUUACCAAUCAAUCACACAUUUUUCUGAAAUUAAUCACAAUUAAUCACGAUUUUAUUCAAUCUUCAAAUGAAUGUAGAAACAACAUAAAGACAGUAUAUUUUUUAUAUUUGUUUAAUGACAGCUUUUCUUAUGACUGAAC